UCCACCACCUGACAGUGUGUUAAAUUUAAAUUCUGUUAGUGCUGUAGUAAAAGAAUCGUUAAUAAUAAAUCCAUGCAGCGAAGGAACUGAAGAAUUGUGGGACCGUAUUUGGGCCGAAAAUGGGUGUGGUACGGAAACCCAGAAAUGGCAUGAGUUCAACAUAAAACAUGGAUUAGAAUUUUAGCGGGGGAUCCAGUAAAAUCUGGAAGUGUUCCAGGUUGGACGAGUGAGCAUACAGUUGAAAAACACUGAAAGUGCAUUACCAUUAAGGUAUGAGGUAAAGUAAUAGAGUAUGCAAAUUGUCUAAUGAGAAGUACCAUCUUGUGUGAAUGAAUCCUGUGUAACAGCAAUCCUUUAUAGUUCUGUUAUAGCUAGAAGCCUCAAAUAAUUCUGCUUCUCUUGCUAAAGAACAACUUGUCCUUUACACUCAGAGUGUUGGUGAAGCUGGGUACUUAAAUGGCCCUAAAGAUGUUUCACUUCACUGGCAUUGCAGCGAUGAACAUCAUACAUGGACUCUUUAGGAAAGGAUUUUCAGCAUACUGGGAACACAACUAUCAACAAUGCAACAUUCUAGGGGUGUUAUUUUAUCCUUCAAGAGCCUUAUACAAUGAUUUUCAUCUACAAUUUGUAUGGCCUUUCCCGAGCUUCUGCCAGAAGUUGAAUCUAUGAGUCAUGUAAGUCACAUGAGCAACAAUUGAGAUGCUUAAUGGUGUUGUUUUU